UUGAAGCUCGGAACGUCGUGUUCGGUUACUGAUGCUGCCCGGCAACGGGACGUGCUCGUAUCGGACGCGGUGUCCCUUCUCUAUCCACCCCACUGUGAACCAAGCGUGCGAGCCAGUAAAGAUGGGGGAGACCCCAUCCGAAAGCUUGCAUGCAAACCUAUAACAUACCCCAAAGAAGUAUCAGAAUGUAACUUGCGUUAACUCGCACAUAUA
rnacentral:misc_RNA from 1 species